rnacentral:lncRNA from 1 species
UAAAAUUUCCAGUGAAUCCAAUCUUCGCUGCACCCCAUACAACGUUCAAUUUUCAGCCCAAAGAAACCCAGAUCCAACAAUUCAUCCAAUAAAUUAAUACCCUUACCCGACCCACUUCCUUUUCCAAACGUUAACAGGAAAGAGAUCAAAGCAAACAGGUUCACGCCAAGCACGAUCAUCAUCUAGUACGAGCGCGCACAACCCUUUCCAUGUUUCUAGUUGCUGCCUCUUUUGCAGGUCACAGGUUUUAUCCUUGCGAUGGCGACAUCAAGACACGUUACUGCCAAGGACAUAGAGGUUGAUCCCGAUCGUCCAUCCUUUUCCCUUUUCCACUUCAGAGUUAAAAUUUCAAAGGAAAAGAAGAAGUUGGUCAAUCCAAAAAGGGUAGGUAUUUUGAAUUUAAAAAAUCAUUUUGAUUUCCCUUUUCUACCCUUGAUUCCUAUCCAUUUUUCCGUCCUUUGACCCCUCUCUUCUUUCCGAGGGAAACCGUAAAAAUGUUGUAUAUAUAAUCGUUUUUGAGCUUUGGGGAAGGGAGGGUGGAUUUUUUCUGAUAUUUUUUUUAGGCUUUUUUUUAGUACGAAUACUAAAACGUUCAUACAAAUAGUAACACAUAUAUAUAUAUAUACAUUUUCAAGAUGGAAAGAAUCGGGUUCACGUUUCUUGUUGCGUCUUUGAAUCCAUUUCCUCAACCCUGUCUUGAACUCUUGGUGGUGAAAUUGUUGUCGUGUCUCAGGGCACCUUAUUGCAUAUAAAGAGGUGAACAACUCUCAACUUUUUUUAAGCGUUUGAGUUCGUCUUCAACAUCUUUGUUAUUUUUCUCUGGAACCAGUAUCGUAGUUUUCAUUUUCAAGAUGAUUUGGUGUUUAAUUUAAGUUGUUUUCCUUGUUUGUAGACUUCUAAAUUCGUGGUAUCGUUUUUUUCAUUUUUAGUUAGUUUCAUUAAUCAAACAUGUCGUCGCUCUGGUCUAGUUCUUGCUGAAAUAAUAUCCAUAGUGUUGUUCUCUAUUUGGAAGGUAUCGAGUGCCUUAAGUACUGGCAUAUUUAUUUUGCUUUUGAAUAUAAAUUAUCCUUAGAGUAUGUGUUCUUUAAAAACAUGGCUUAGUAUCUUAUUUAAAUUAACGUUGGCUGGACUCUUUCAGAAGAUUUAAAAUAUGAUGAGAUGUCACCUUUGAUUAAUCUUAAUACUGUAAGAGUUUGUUUGGUGUGUUUGUCUAGCCAUUUUACCUUUGAUUAAGUUUUUUUAUAAACAAAAUCUUAGCGAGGCAGUCAUAUGUCCAUUUUUAUAAGUUACUGCAAUUUUUUCUAGUUAAAAUAUCUACAUUAAAGCUUGUGGUUUGAAGCACUUGUUGACGUGAUAGUAUUUUUAUCAGUUCAUGUUGCAGCUACCUUUCCUCUUGUUAUUUUGAUAGUAUUGUUCUAUUAAUCAAAUUGUCCAAUCACCUUAUUUUAGUUAUAUAUAUAUAUAUAUAUAUAUAUAUAUAUAUAUAUAUAUAUAUAUAUAUAACACGACCAGAAUGUAGACCCCAGACAAACCGGCGUCGUUGACCUCUCAGAGGUCGCAAACAAGCCUACAUAAGUCAUCUUUACUUCAUCUAGGUUAAUUUCUAUGGAAAAUUUCAACUUUUUGUUAUUUAACAUGCUGACUAAAGAUUCUAUUACAUAUAUAAUUGUUCACCAUCAAUCAUGUAACAUUAAUAUCAUCAAAUAAAAGAAGCAGUUUAUUAUAACGAUAAAGAUAUAAUUGCCAAAAUAGCACCAAUACAAUGUCUGGACAAAAAUGGGAAAGAAAUGCUAGUGGAAUAUACUCCACUAGCUCAAUCCUACAACUAAGCUAGAAUGUUAAUGGUCAAGCAUCCUCGAAAUCCUGAGGACCUACCGAGUUCGGAUGAAUGCUUGACGUCCGAAUAGCUACAACGUUGAUCCUGUAGCUCUAGCGUCCACCUGUGCCUGCACCUAAAAGUUUAAAGUAGCAUAGGGUUAGUACACACUUGUACUAAGUAUAGGUUUAUGCAAGCACACACUAAGGACAUGCAUGAUUAAGAAUAUCUCUUUCAUAACAACAUGAUUGUAUAAGGUCAAGUCAGUGGACUUGCCAAAUUGAGAUUAGGAAAGUGAGUGUCCGUUCCAAAUUUGGAUUAUGAAAGUUAUGCCAUUAGAGUAACUUGCAUCAUCAUACUUAACAUUUUGCACACAACACAUAAUAGUGUACACAUAGCAGAUAUCAUAAUUCAUAUAACACAUAAUGUUGUUCAUAUCAUUUAUUCGUAUGCCAUGAGACCUUGUAAUCAUGGACUUGACAUUAAGACUUCCCAAAAUGAGGGCUCAACACAUGGGACCUCAACUAGGGAGCCUUUUUUAGCAAACACAUAAUCUGCUUCAUUCAUUCAUACGUACUUCAUUUUUCAUUCUUUCAUAGACUAGGGCAAUCACCAGUCAUACCUAGGAUGUAGUUUAAGGCUCGCAUCGGGUUUGCUGUGCAAUGACCAAGAAUAACCUAGCCUCAUUAAUUAAGUCAAGCUCACCUCUUGAUUAUCCUAUCCUUACACCUUUGGUAUCAUUCAUUUCAUUAUGUGCAUCAUUUGAGGCUGUCCUCAUAUAUUCUUUGAGAACUUUAACUUUAACCAACAUAGAUCAUGUGAGCAUCAUAAAAUCCAGUGUCUCCCCCACACUGAAAAAGGUGGAAUCAGGGGCCAAAGUUACCAAAAAUAUGCUAGCGUACAUGGAAAUUGAACCCCGCUAGGUCCCUAUAUUGGCAAUAUAGUUUCGAAGACUAGGAUAUAUAAGGAGACCCAUACCCGGAAUGCUGGACAGUCUCAUCUCAUGAGAGUUACGUGAACCUCCUCCCUUCCUGAACGAAGGCAUCACCGCUCAUAGCUAGCCAAUUGGUGCUCAAUAUAAAUUUCUACUACAUUCAACUCAUACAUCAUGGAAGCUAGCUUCUAGCAUGAGGACAUCAUAGCUCAUUAGAUUAUUCUCAUCUCAUCAUUAGUAUUAAGUAUGAAUUAACUUCAAUACUUUCAUUAAAGUGUUCAUAGAGACUGGUCUCUUCAUUAACUUUACACUUUCAUAGGUGAGUACGUUUUGGUAACAUUUACUUAGGCUCAUUUGAGAUUGCUCUCAUCUUUCACAUUAGCCUCUUAUCAUGUUGUCACCAAAUUCAUUAACUUUAACACAUUUGCUCUUCAUAAUUACGCACCCCUUUACAUGAAUGUUCAUUUCAUACAUAUGCCAAUGCACUUGGAUAUUAAGUGUGUUUCACACUCUUACUUAACCCCUUCUAGGUUUUACAUCAUUUUAUCACAUACAUAUUAGGUUCACUUACAUUUAUUCUUAUGCUAGACUUAUGAGUCAACACAUACAAGCCAUGAGGCUUCAUUGAUAGUUUGUCUAAGUGAUUCAUGUUUACCCAAGAUUAUGUGGUACAACAUUUGUGCAUCUUGUAGAUAUGCCAAGAUAUUGAUUUUGAUCUAUAGAGGCAGCAUCCAUUAAGUAUUUACUUACGUAUGAAUUAUACGUCAAUACGGAAUUGGGCAAGGGAACCCGACUUCAAAUCCCUUGGACAGCACUUAGUUAAUUUUCUUUCACCUAAUUUUGGAUUUACAUUUUGGCUUGGGGAACCCGAUUUUGAAUCCCCUCACUAAGAUUAUUUUUCCUUUCUUUUUCCCUCCCCUCACUUCACCUUAGGAGUUUUAAGAAUUAGGGGAUACGGGAUCGAACCCCCAUAGCAACAUUAAUUUAUUUCUCUCUUUCCUAAGUUUUUUCCCAUGUUGUCCGACAGGAGGUGGGUUCGAAUCCCACUACUCUCAUUAUUAUUAUUAUUAUUAUUAUUAUUAUUAUUAUUAUUAUUAUUAUUAUUAUUAUUAUUAUUAUAAUUUCUCUCCUUGUAUAUUCUUUCAGCCAAGAGGUGGUGGGUUUGAAUCCCACUCCCUCAUUAUUUUUAUUAAGUUACAAUUUCCCUUUUACUAUCUUGUUUGGCCGAGAGGUUGUGGGUUUUUAAUCCCAUACCUCUCUUUUUUUUCAGCUUUCAUGUAGUGAGGUCUUGGGUUCAAUCCCCACUGAACUCACAUGUUUUAAAUUUAUUUUUAAACUUCUAAAACUUCAAGUGUUGUGGCCGAAAACUCCAUCACCAAGUUCUGAAAAUUUUAUUAAAUUUUCUAGCCUUUGUUUAACAACAUUCAUAUGUUCGUUUUCUGGUAUUUUCACAAUUUGUUUAAUGCCUUUCUAGGUGUAGAUUCAUUGUUGUUUUAGCUUAGAUUUUUUCUCUUAAGAUCAGCCACCUUAAACUUCAUUUAAACAUCAUAAUUAACACACCUUACGCACAAUAAUUUCAAUCAUCAAACAAGCCAUUUUAAGACUUCAAAACGGAGAACAACAACAAAUAUUUUACACAUUGCACUACAUCAUUUUCGGUUGACAUCAUUGAACAUGCUUGCUAUUUCCAAACACAAAAUCACAAAGAACAUCAUAUUUCGCACAUAGCUACCAGAAACCAUAGCCUAAUUUAGAUUGAAAUCGAAAGGAGACUAGGGACAAGGAAUUCGACAAUAAAGGGGACAUCCCUAGUUUCAUAUGUUGAAUUUUGUAGAAAGAAAUUUCUCUUAGAGAAAGGAUUCCACAAGAUAAAGCCCAUACCUUUUUGAUGUUAUAAUCUUGACUUGCUGCCCAAAAACUUCACCCAAGAACACGUCUAAGCCCCCUCAAUAUCAACUCCACUCGAAUGACAACCUCCCUUAGCCUAGUGUGCGAUUAACGUUUGUUUUCUUGUGAUUUCGUGUGAAUUCUUCAAAUAAGAAGAACUUGGUUUAUUUUUAUGUUUUGUAUCUUAUUUUGGCAGAGAAAAUACGUGAGAAAGAAUAAGAGAGAUUGAGCGUGAGAGUGGAGAGAUAAACGUGAGAGAGUGGAGUUGUAAGAGGCUUAGGAGUCUAGUUUUAGGACUUAGUCAAUAAGGUUUUGUUUACUUGAUAAAAUCUGAUUUUUAAUUUAUUUUAAAUCAUCUAAUGAAUAAUAAUAAUUAAUUAAUUACAUAAAUUAAUUAAACAGCUUAAAUAAAAAUCACUUUAAUGCAUUGCUUCCACCUAGCUAUUUUCGACCCUCUCUCGCAAAAAUACCCCUCCACCUUAUUAAUGAAAUAAUUAAUUGUAUAUUUAGGAUAAUUACGAUACUACCCUUAGCGUGGAAAAAUACCAUUUUACCCCUAGACCCUCCAAACCUAAGAUUUUCCCUUUUUAAGUCCGAUAAAGACUCGUUCAAGUAUUUUCGUAUUAGAGAGCCUUACAUGGUUGGACCCAACCUUUCCAAGCUCAACUAACUCCCCAAGUUAGUUGGCUUGGAUGUAGCAAGGGUUCCGAGGUAUGUUCUACGCGCAUCAAUCCAUGUGAACCCUGGUCUAAUCAUAUGCAUUCUUGACACAUUAAGCAUUUAUUAUCUUAUCCAUUUUUAGGGUUGUUACAUUAUCCUCCCCCACCCCCACCCUUAGGAACAUUCGUCCCCGAAAGACACUACUCUUUAAUAAAAAUAAGUAAGUCAUCUAUAAAAUGUAUGCAUAAAUAGGUAAUUCAAUAUUCCCCAUUGGCAAAUAUUUGAUUCACAUAUUAACAUGAUGGUGCACAUCCUUGAAACCUACUAUUAGCUUCACAUUAAUAGGCUAAGGAACUCUUUCCUAAGCUAGUCUCAUCAAAGCAUACAACAUAAGUAAAAUGUAAGUCAUACAAAUCAGCAACGAACAUGAUGACUCAAACAUAUUUAACCUCAUACUAGUGCAUACACACCACACACAGUCAAAUACUUGAAGGACUACUUAAGGCUACUCACCCGAGACAUUACCAGAGGUGCCUUCCCCUGCACCCCUAGACUUGAGUGCAAAGAAUCAUUUCCUCCUUGGAUCCUCUUCACUUGGACCAUUAGGUUGAACUCUCUCCUUCACUUGUUCUUGACAUCUCCUAUUCGGACAAUCCUUCACCAUGUGACUUGGUUUGCCACAACUGUAACAAGCAUUAGUGCCCAUCAUACACUCUCCUCCAUGUAAUUUGCCACACUUCCUGCAAGGUGGUAUCUUCUGAGGAGUAUCUAGUUCAUUGUUUCUCUUAACUCUGGACUCCGAAUUCCUAUAAUAGCGACCCUUGGAUGAACAUGACUCACCUUGAUGGGAGAAUCCCUUCUUAAACCUAGUAUUAUCCUUGAUUUUAGUACUUAUCUUCCUUGAAAAAUUCUCCUAAGCAUGCCUUGACCUGUUCCCUGCCCUAGUGCACUUCCUCUUCCUGCUUUCCUCCACCUGCUGGACAUGGACCAUAAGCCUGUUAGACACAAGAGAAGUGGCAUACCUGGAUAAUUUCACAAACUUCAUGGAAUACUCCCUGACUGUCAUGGAUCCCUGUUUAAGGUUGAUAAACUCCUCAACCUUGGCGUCUCUCAUCUCCUUGGGGAAAAAUCUCUUCAGUAGGUUUGUCUUAAAUAGCUCCCACGUGACCGGAACUCCGCCCAAAAGCUCGGCUAUCCUGCCACAUCUUGCACCAAGUCUGUGUAACAUCCUUGAGUUGAUAGGAAUCCAGCAUAGCCUUCUCAGUAUUUGUGGCCCCCAUGGACACCAAAAUCUUAGGUACCUCAUCCUAAUGGUCAUAGGAUCCAGUUUCUUGUGGGUAGUAAAAUUCUAACUUCAGACAGGCAUACCCAUACACGUGUUUGUGUCAAACUAGGUUUCCAACCUUAGAAUGACUCAAAAGGCAUCUUUAGAACAGCCUUGGUUGGAAUUUGGUUUAAUAUAUAUGUUGUUGUCUUUAGAGAUUCAAUCCACAAGGAACUUGGUAGCUUAGAGCUACUUAACAUACUACGCCCUAUGCCUAAUAAUGUUUGGUUUCUUCUUUCUGCUACACCAUUCUCAUCCGGAGAACCAGACAUAGUAUAUUGGGAAACAAUUCCAUUCUGUGGAAGAAACUUUCCAAACACACCUUGUGCUUGUCCAUCUUCUGUAUAUAUAUAUAUAUAUAUAUAUAUGUAUAUAUAUAUAUAUAUUAUAGUCACCACCUCCAUCAGUAACAAUCAUAAUUUGUUUUUUUCAUUGUUUUCCUAUUUCGGCCUUGAAAACUUUAAAGGCUUCUACUGCUUCGCUCUUAUUAUGAAACAUGUAGCGAUACAGAUAUCGUAAGUAAUCAUCUAUAAAAGUGAUAAAGUAUUUUUUACCAUAUGUGUCCAUGUCUGGUCAACAUAUAUUUGAAUGUAUGAUUUCUAAUACAAUUGAACUCCUCUUGACACCUUUCUUUGACUUGUUAGUCUGUUUGCCUUUAAUGCAGUCUGUACAAGUAUCAAAAUCAGUAAAAUUUAAAGUACUAAGUACUCCAUCAUUUACUAAUCUCCUAAUUCUAUCGAUGGAGAUAUGUCUCAAUUUCGAUACCAUAAGAUAGAGGAAUUUUCAUUUAUAACACAUUGUUUAGUACCACCUUGUACAUGCAUAACAGUAUGAAUGGAAUCAUUUUGUAAAUUAAGAGAGAACAGACCAUCAGACAAUGCACCAUAUACAACAAAUUUAGAUUUAUAAAGUAGUUUGGAAUCACCUUCUAGAAAGAAGGAAUAUCCCAAAGGUAGAAGUCUUGACACUAAAAUUAAAUUCCUAGAAAACUUAGGAACAUAAAAAGUCUUUUCUAACUCUAAAAUAAAACCACUACUUAGAACUAAAUCGCAUGUCCUAUUAGCUUCCACAUGUGACUGCAUCUUGUUUACAGAAUAUAUACUUCACUCAGCUCCACUACUUAGAACUAAAUCGCAUGUCCUAAUAGCUUCCACAUGUGACUGCAUCUUGUUUACAAAAUAUAUACUUCACUCAGCUCCCACUUGCUUGCGCAGGUUUCUUAAAUCCAGCAAGGAAUUCGUAAUAUGGAUUGUAGAAGUAGAAUCAAUCCACCACGUGUAAGAUUAACAUUAAUCAUAUUAUCUUCAUAACAAACCAGAGAGAUAGAAGUAUCUUUUUUAAAAAGCCAUUGUUGAAACUUGAAACAAUCCUGCCUUAUGUGCCCCUUCUUUCUAUAGAAACGACACUUGGCUUCCUUUUUUUAUGUUAGUUUCAAGUGGUGCCUUUCCUUUAUCAAAAAAUGUUUUCAGAAAUUUGAAAACAGUAUCAGAAUUUUUAAGAACCAUUUUGAGCGAUUUUAGAGAAUUCUUACAACAAACAAAGCAUAGUCAAUUCAACGGCUCUGAUGUCAAAUAUAAUACAUAACAAAGAAUGACGCAGCAAAAAUAUAGUGUGAUCGACAUACCUGCAGCCAUCGUUUGCUAUGUAGUCAGUGUCUACAAUUCUUCUACAAAGAUCUUCUAAGUACUCAAAACCUCAAUCGUAGAUGGUAUGGAGUUUUUAGAAAUAAUGUGCUUAAGGACCUUUAAACCAAAUGACAUAUUUAUAAUCGCGCUUCCAUCAAGAACGGUUAAGAGGUUAUGAGAACUUACAAACAACUAGAGUAGUAGGAUAGUGGAUCCAUGUAGUGGGAUAAUAGGUAGUUAAACAUUAUCCCAUUAAUGGGAUAAUGGGUAAUUAACCAUCUUCCCAUCAGUGAAAUAAUAGAUACAUGUGGUGGGACAGACCCUUUGACGGUCCUUCGUGGGUACGACGGUGUCGCGCCCCAUUUUCGCAGAAAACAGGUUUUGUGCGCGACCUAACAACUCUUUUGGGAUUUUCGAGUUUGAGGAGUCGCCACCUAACGAAUUAAGGCGCGUUAGGGCACCUAUCUAACCUAACUAAGUCUAGCUAAGGUCAGCGAGCCAGAGAUUAGGGUAAGAGUUCAAAUUACCUCGAGGGGAAGGUGUUAGCCAUCCCUCGAGGUCCACAAGUGUGGGUCCCGGCCGUAUCUCAUGCAAUCUAUGUGGGGGUUACAAUUAUCAAUCAAGGUCACUUUAUUUUAUUAAUUUAUUUAAUCUUGCUAAGUGAUAACGAAUACAAAAUAAUUAAUACUAUUUUUCAUUAAUUUGAGCAUGCAAGGCUAGGUGAUAGCAAUAAAUAAAUAAUUAAGUUUUAUUUUUAUUUAAGCAUGUGAGACUAUGCUAUAAACAAAUUUUUGUAAAUAUUAAACAAUUAAAAUGUGAGAAAGUAAGGUUUUAAAAAUUGAGCAAGUUUUGAAUAUGAAUUUUUAUAAAAAAAAUGUUUGUUUCUUUAUAGAGAUGAUGUCACGACAUUGUUGAUCGCACUCCUCCACCAUAGAAACAAUUUUGAUUUGAGGUCGGUCUAAAAAUAGUUUAUGUUUUUGAAAAAAUGAUUUAAAAGAUUUAGUUCACACAUAGGCACAUAAACAUUUACAUAUAAAUGCACAUAAUUUCUUUUGAAAUCCAUGGGUAGGUGGUACUUCCGGGGAUGCGUCCGGUUUAAAAAAUUAGAACUAGACCUCGUAGUUCCUUUGACUUUCCCACUAACGAUAGGUUAGGAGAUAGUGCUUAUAAUUAUUUUUUCAAAAUAAACAAUGUCAUAAUCAAUCCAAAGUUUUAAAGAAAGAUUGAAUAAUGACUUUUUUUUUAAGAAAAUUAUGUUGCAAGGUUUUGAUAUGAAAUAUUUUUUAAAAGCCAAGCAAUUUGCCAAAUGCAUGAAAUGAUUCUAAUUUAGUGUUAUUAAAAAAAAAUAUUGCAUCAUGAAUGCGGAAGACAAAUAAGAUUACUAAUAAUAUUAACCAAUUUUUGGAGAAGGGCACAAAUAUGCACAAACAAAUUUUAUUUUUACGGAUAUGUUAAAAGUUAUUUUCAAGCCUAUAGACAUGAAUUUCUAGGUGUUUAAAAGAAGGAGUAACACAUAUGCAUGCUUUUGUGAAUCUAAAUGAUAUGAACAAAUUAAACCUUAGGCAUGGUUUCUACAUGACAAGAUGAUGCUAAAAGUUAUAACAUUGUUAAAACACCUGAUCAGCCUACUAAAUUACUAUGAUUUGUUUUUAACAUUAAAAAUUAAUGAAAUCUAGUUUAUUAUUUUUUAGACUUAUUAACAAAGCAUCAAACAAUUGAUUGGAUUGUAAUACCUACAAAUAAUAAUUCUAGGUGGUUAAAGACAAACCUAUAGGCAUGAUUUCUAAAAAUUUAUAAUGAACAAGUAAGCAUAUAAAUCCCCCUCCCCUAGACUACCCCCAAAUAAAUUUAUAUAUAUGAUCUUUAGAGUUACAAUUGUUACAACAUUCGAAUAAAUAAAAUAGGCGAAAAAUAAAAUAUAUAUACAUUCAAAUAAACAAAUAAAUCUUUCUUCAAUUAAUCUUCAACUUGAACUUCAAGUUUGAAACCUGUCAAAGUAAUCAAACAACUACACAAGUAAUCACACUUAUUAGUCAAGGAGACAAUAUGCAAUUGUUUAAUGACGAAUUCUGCAUAUAAAAUAAAACAGACAAUAGCUUACACAAAUGUGUGAAUGCAAAGAUAGUAUAAAUGUUAAGAAUACUAACCAGUUAAGCAAAACAAAUUGAUUCAACUUUUACUCGAACAAAGUAGCAAAAUAGCGAAGAAAAACACUUGAAUAUUUACCGGAAUAUUAAUGUAUUGUUAGAGUAGCAAGAGAGCAAUGAGAGAAGAGAGAGUGAUGAGAGAAUUUGUUAUUGAGACUGAAUGAGUGUCUCUGAGUUGAUGAAGGGAGGGAUCUUAUUUAUAUAGCAAAGAGGGGGAAACAAAUAAGGAAAAAAGAUAUUUAAAGGAGUCAAUUAAAUAUAUUGUUUUCCUUAUUAAAAAGGAGAUUCAAAUCAGCCAAAAUAAAAAUAUAUCAAUUCCAAAUAUAUGCAAGAAUAAAUUAGGAAGAGAAAUAUUAUUAUUAUUUAUCUUAAAUAAGGAGAGACAAAUCAGUUUUUUUUAUUUAAUAUUUCAUUACUAAAAAAAUAGAUGAGUAAGAGUAAAGUAAGGAAGACAAUAUUCUUUUACUUUAAUAAAUAAGAGCCAAAACAUUUUAAUUGAGAAAAUCAUUUAAAUUUUAAAACAUUUUAAAUUCAUUAAUAAUUUUAAAAUAUUAUAAUAUUUACAAUAAUUUUAUAAAGUAAAACAUACUAAAAUAUAUAACUUUCAAGCAAAGUCGACUAAAAAUUUUAAAAUUUAAAAUACGUAUUUAAUCGAAUAGGAUUUCUAAAAAAGUUCAAAGGUCGGUCAAAAUUGGGUGUCAAUAGCUGCCCCUUGGUUGAUUGAGAAUGAAGAAUGAAUUAUCAGGCAACUAACGUUGACUUACUAGCCGAUUUUUUCCGACCGACGAGAGAUGUCAGUUGGAUCAAUUGAAAUGAUAUAGAGUUGAAAAAGGGUACGACCGAGACUUUGGUUUUAAGUCGCCUAUAUAUCUCUGGUUAUACGAGAAUCAGGUCGUGUGUAGUUCUAGAUUCAAGAGCAAAUGAAACUCUUAAAAGUUGAAAGAGCGCUAAGGUAUUUGAAAGGCACGAUAUCGGCUUGAAUGGAUAAGAUUAGAGUAGCGAGAAAAGAGAGAUAGAGGCUAGAGAGCGUGAUAGAGAAGCAGCAUGUCAGCAUUUGAGCACGGUUCAGAGUAUGAGUAGCAAAGGAUUGAUAGAGUCGUUGUUGUGAUAGAGGAAAGCAUGAUAAUUGUAAUCAAAGGCGAUCGAUCAAAUCUGCAAAUUCUAGAUAAAACGUUAGCUCAUAAAUAGAUAAAGUGUGACCAAUAGUAAUAAAAUGUGAGUUCUAGAUAAAUGACAAGAGGUGAUAAAGAGCGUAUCUGUUUGAGUACGUAGUGCAAGCCUUGAUAGUCUUUAACUUCUUGAAGAAUUGAAACCCAUCUCUGAAGAAUAACGUCAAACUCCAAAAUGUUUGAUAGUAUAAACAUAUAAUAAUAUAAGCAAAAUGUCUGGUUGUAAGGAGAGUCUAAACAUCAUUUAAAGGCGGACGAGCCUAAACGCCAUAUUUUAAGGCGGAAAAGCCUAAACAUCCUAUUGUAAGGUGGAAGAGCCUAAAUGUCGCAUUGUAAGGCAGACGAGCCUAAACAUCGUAUUGUAAGGCAGAAGAGCCUAAAUAUCCUAUUGUAAGGUGGAAGAGCCUAAAUGUCGUAUUGUAAGGCAGACGAGCCUAAAUGUCGUAUUGUAAGGCAGACGAGCCUAAAUGUCGUAUUGUAAGGCAGACGAACCUAAAUGUCGUAUUGUGAGGCAAAUGAGCCUAAAUGUCGUAUUGUAAGGCAAACGAGCCCUCGUAUUGUAAGGUAGACGAGCCUAAAUAUCCUAUUGUAAGGCGGAAGAGCCUAAACAUCCUAUUAUAAGGCGGAAGAGCCUAAAUGUCGUAUUGUAAGGCAGACGAGCCUAAAUAUCCUAUUGUAAGGUGGAAGAGCCUAAACAUCCUAUUGUAAGGCGGAAGAGCCUAAAUAUCGUAUUGUAAGGCAAACGAGCCUAAACAUCAUAUUUUAAGGCAGAAAAGCCUAAACAUCCUAUUGUAAGGCGGAAGAGCCUAAAUGUCGUAUUGUAACGCAAACGAGCCUAAACAUCAUAUUUUAAGGCGGAAAAGCCUAAACAUCCUAUUGUAAGGCGGAAGAGCCUAAAUGUCCUAUUGUAAGGCGGACAAGCCUAGAUGUCGUAUUGUAAGGCGGACGAGCCUAGAUGCCACAUUGUAAGGCGGACGAGCCUAGAUGUCACAUUGUAAGGCGGACGAGCCUAGAUGUCGUAUUGUAAGGCGGACGAGCCUAGCUGAAGAGAUAGAAAGUCACAGUGGCGAGUUGAAUCCGAAGAUAUCUUCAUGGUAGCCUGAAUGAUAGAUGAGUAGCGAAACGAUAGUGCGAUUAGCCAAGAAUUUGUCGGAGCCUUUGUUUUGUAAACAAGUGAACAACCGUUCAAACGGCGACUUUGUCUGUAAUCUGCAUAACUGUAACUUGUAAUAGAGUAAUUAGAGCAGAAAAAGCGGUAAAUGUAAACAUGAUGCAAUUUCCCAUAUUGACCAUGAAUGUUUGCCUUAAGACCAUGCAAAAUGACGUCUUAGGCUAUGAUGUCUAGGGCCAUGAUAUGCAGGGUGUAUUCUCAGGUCAUUAAAAUGUUGUUUGUAGGCCAUGAAAAUGACGUCUUUAGACUAUGACACCUUCGGAUCAUGAUAGACAGAAAUUAAACCCUUAGGCCAUGAUAUGAUGUCCGUAGGCCAUGAGGAUGAUGCCUUUAGACUAUGACGCCUUAGGAACAUGAUAUGCAUAAAAUAAGUCCUCAGGCCAUGACAUGAAGUCCGCGGGCCAUGAAAGAUGAUGCCUUUGAAGGAUGACGCCUUUGGGAUAUCAGUAAUGAGUAAAGAGAGCGUAUCUGUUUUUCACAUCUGUUGAUACUUAUGACUUGAUUUGAUUCGGGCACAUGUAAACUUCGAGCACGAUGCAAUCUUGAGCUUAUGCAAAUUUCGGGCACAAUGCAGUCUCGGGCACAAUGCGAUGAUGCAUUUCUUCGGGCACAUACAAUAUCGAGCACAUCAUAUGAUGCAUUUCUUCGGUCACAUGCAAUGAUGCAUUUCUUUGGGCACAUGCAGUAUUGAGCACAUGCAAUAAUGGAUUUCUUUGGGCACAAUGCAAUGAUGCAUUUCUUCGGGCGCAAUGCAAUGAUGCAUUUCUUCGAGCACAUGCAUUGUCGGGCACAUGCAAUGAUGCAUUAUCAGGCACAUGCAAUGAUGCAUUUCUUCGGGCACAUGCAUUAUCGGGCACAUGCAAUGAUGCAUUUCUUCGGGCACAUGCAUUAUUGGGCACAUGCAAUGAUGCAAAUCUUCGUGCACAAUGCAAUGAUGCAUUUCUUCGGGCACAAUGCAAUGAUGCAUUUUUUCGGGCACAAUGCAAUGAUGCAUUUUCGGGCACAUGCAUUAUCGGGAACAUGCUAUGAUGCAUUUCUCGAGCAUAGUGCGAUCUCGGGCAUAAUGUAGUCAUGCAAACCUAGAUCUCAGGCAUAGUGCAACUUCAUAUUGAAUGAUGAGGGUAUGUAGUAGCUUGGACAUUCGCCUUGUUGGAAGGGUUGAGUGUCAUUUGUCAGGCUCAAAAGUGGUAUGUUGAUUGUUGAAACUGCCUUUGUAUAUGUACCUGUAUUUUCUACAUUCAAAGAAAAAUAGUUAGUUUGAAGGGGAGGUUGAUCUGUAUCUAUGAUUUGGCACAGCGUGGUUCUUUGGUGUCUGAUAGAAUGCUCUUCGGAGUAUUGUCGAAAAUUUUGAGAUUUUCUCAAAAUUUCUGCCCCAGUGUAGAACUUCUGUUAUUCUGAUCUGUUGUGAUUGUAGCUCGACUGUUGGAUUUUUCGAGAUUCUCUUAAAAAUUUCUACCUGGUCUUGAUUUUUAGCGAUUUUGAGAGCCUCUCAAAAUUCUGCCCCAGUUGUUGAGAAGAUGUUUUUGAUGGAAUUUUUGAGUGCCCCUGUAUGGAGAUGCGCAAGAAGAAAUCUUGAUGGAAUUUUUGAGAACCUCUCAAAAAUUCUGCCCCAGUUAUCAAUAGAAGGGGAAAAUAAAGGUUUUAUUUAUGAUAAGACCGAACCCCAUAGGAGCGCCUACGUAUCCCCUCCUAAACGGGAAUCAAGUCUGAUUUAGUUCCAAAAGAUAUGGCAUAGGAGGCCUUUGGUACAGAGACAUUUGAUAUGGAGGGUUUGGAAAUGGCAUGAGAGGUGCAUGAUGCCAAAGAACUUGGUGCAGAGGUGUUUCGUAUUGAGGAGCUUGCAUAGUGGGAUAAUGCGGGUGUAAAGUAAGAUGUUGAGGUUUAAGAGCAUAUGAAUGGUGUUUGCGGAGGAUAUGGGUGAUUUGGAAUGUAGAUGUUUUUAGAAGCAUUUGAAUGGAGCUCGAUUGACUUUGAGAGGUAGAGUAAUCCGGAGGAAGAUUAUUUUGGAGAGUGAAUGUUCGUCUCAAAGUUGGAUUGGCAGAGAGUAAAAACUUUGCCCACUCACGCAUGUCCAACAACUCUACUUCUAACUUCUUUAUUUUCUGCUCAAGGUUUGUUACCAACUUGUCUGAAAGACACUUUUUCAAUAGUUUUGCAUAUAACCUUAGCAUUAGUCCCUUUCACUUUUUCCUUUGCAAUUCUAAGUCGGAAGAAGAGGAAAUGACCUUUGAUCGCAUGUGAUAAACCAUGGUCUACAGAUCAACCAUUGGGAAAGGGUAAGAUAACUAAAAGCAAAAUAAAACCCAAGUUAGAACAUUGCAUAAAUUGAGAUAUCAAACACGUUAUUUAAGAUAAACGACCUAAAUGCAAAAGAGCCUCGUUGGGCCAGAGGUAGGCCUAAGGGACACAUAAGUGAUGCACAAUAACUAAUUCAAGCCUUAUUUGUCAAUUUAGAGUUUAGAGUUAGACAAUAAAACGACUUUCAAUUAUUGAAAUAAUUUCUAUUUAUUACACCAAUCUAGAGAUAACUAAAGGGCUAGGGAUAACACAUGGGGAAUAAAAAGAAUAAUAAAAAAAACUUCAAUUAUGUUGCUCUCCAAUGUUAGGCACAAUCUGCUUCCUCAUUUCUGGGAUAAUGUCAUAAUCGGUGUUGAGGAGGUUGCUAGCCCAUCUUCUCUCUGCCUUGAUUAAGUGACGAUCUGACUCUACGGAGAUCAAAGCAGUGAGGCCGCCUAACGGUUCAUUUGCUUCUAACUCUUGAUUUUUUUGAAUAUCUUUCCACCAAGUCUUCAAAAUGGGAUUAACUUUGACCACCAUUUGCGUGUUUGGAAAGUGAGGGUGAGCCAUUACUCUGCAAACAAUGUAACAAACGACUUCUAAACUCCAUUUUGACAAUGUUGGCUUGACUUAAUUAUCAUGAUCACGUUGACACAUAAAUAUGCAAGUUGUCUAAGGGUGUUGGGGCCCUUUAGACAAUAGGGUGGCUACUAAUUAUGUGGAUUGACACCAAGGGUCAAACCACCUAGGUUUUAUGCAGCGUGUAUGACUUAACCAGGACUUCUAAGAGUGGCUUGACACCAAGGGUCAAACCACCUAGGUUUUAUGCAGCAUGUAUGACUUAACCAGGACUUCUAAGAGUGGCUUGACACGGACUUGAAAGGGAUUCUAUGCGAGAGGCUCGUGGCUUCGCGGUAGUAAAACUAUCCACUACGUCCACGCAUAUGCCGACUCUCUAUAAUGGGUAUUUGAAUAAGAUUGGAGUAGUUGUGAGAGGUGCAAAGGCACAACAUCACGAGAAAAAAAUAAAAAAAGGAAGAGGGUCCCAAUUGGGGAAAGUAUGAGCGGGAUGACAAUUAUCAAAGUAAUAAACAUUUAGCAUUUAAAUUGGAAAGAGGUAACAUAUAGGCAGCUUAUAAACAAUAAAUAAAUAAAUAAGCAUGAAUAAAGGAAAUUAAACAUAUAAAGAUAUGAAAACUACACAAAUAAAGCAGGAGAAUACGAGACUAAACAUGUAAGCAAAUAAGGGGAAAGAGAAAAGGUGAAACAUGAUAGAUAAUAAACAAUUAAAGAAAAGGGAAAGGGUGGAACAUGGAGAGAGGACAAUAAAUAAGGAAACAAAAUAAGCUAAACAUGGUAAGCACCUAACAAAUAGUGAAAUGACAAAAAUAAAGUAAACCCCACAUAAAUAAGCAGUUAACACGUAAUGGUAAGAAUCUAAUAUCCCCAGCGGAGUCGCCAUUCUGUCGCGCGCCAUUUUCGCAGAAAACGGGUUUUGUGUGCGACCUAACAACUCUUUUGGGAUUUUCGAGUUUGAGGAGUCGCCACCUAGCGAAUUAAGGCGCGUUAGGGCACCUAUCUAACCUAACUAAGUCUAGCUAAGGUCAGCGAGCCAGAGAUUAGGGUAAGGGUUCAAAUUACCUCGAGGGGAAGGUGUUAGGGAUCCCUCGAGGUCCACAAGUGUGGGUCCCAGCCGUAUUUCAUGCAAUCUAUGUGGGGGUUACAAUUAUCAAUCAAGGUCACUUCAUUUUAUUAAUUUAUUUAAUCUUGCUAAGUGAUAACGAAUACAAAAUAAUUAAUACUAUUUUUCAUUAAUUUGAGCAUGCAAGGCUAGGUGAUAGCAAUAAAUAAACAAUUAAGUUUUAUUUUUAUUUAAGCAUGUGAGACUAUGCUAUAAACAAAAUUUUGUAAAUAUUAAACAAUUAAAAUGUGAGAAAGUAAGGUUUUAAAAAUUGAGCAAGUUUUGAAUAUGAAUUUAUAUAAAAAAAUGUUUGUUUCUUUAUAGGGAUGAUGCCACGACAUUGUUGAUCGCACUCCUCCACCAUAGAAACAAUUUUGAUUUGAGGUCGGUCUAAAAAUAGUUUAUGUUUUUGAUAAAAUGAUUUAAAAGAUUUAGUUCACACGUAGGCACAUAAACAUUUACAUAUAAAUGCACAUAAUUUCUUUUGAAAUCCAUGGGUAGGUGGUACUUUCGGGGAUGCGUCUGGUUUAAAAAAUUAGAACUAGACCUCAUAGUUCCUUUGACUUUCCCACUAACGAUAGGUUAGGAGAUAGUGCUUAUAAUUAUUUUUUCAAAAUAAACAAUGUCAUAAUCAAUCCAAAGUUUUAAAGAAAGAUUGAAUAAUGACUUUUUUUUAAAGAAAAUUAUGUUGCAAGGUUUUGAUAUGAAAUAUUUUUUAAAAGCCAAGUAAUUUGUCAAAUGCAUGAAAUGAUUCUAAUUUAGUGUUAUUAAAAAAAAUAUUGCAUGAUGAAUGCGGAAGACAAAUAAGAUUACUAAUAAUAUCAAACAAUUUUGGGGGAAGGGCACAAAUAUGCACAAACAAAUUUUAUUUUUACGGAUAUGUUAAAAGUUAUUUUCAAGCCUAUAGACAUGAAUUUCUAGGUGUUUAAAAGAAGGAGUAACACAUAUGCAUGCUUUUGUGAAUCUAAAUGAUAUGAACAAAUUAAACCUUAGGCAUGGUUUCUACAUGACAAGAUGAUGCUAAAAGUUAUAACAUUGUUAAAACACCUGAUCAGCCUACUAAAUUAUUAUGAUUUGUUUUUAACAUUAAAAAUUAAUGAAAUCUAGUUUAUUAUUUUUUAGACUAAUUAACAAAGCAUCAAACAAUUGAUUGGAUUAUAAUAUCUACAAAUAAUAAUUCUAGGUGGUUAAAGACAAACCUAUAGGCAUGAUUUCUAAAAAUUUAUAAUAAACAAGUAAGCAUAUAAAUCCCCCUCCCCUAGAUUACCCCCAAAUAAAUUUAUAUAUAUGAUCUUUAGAGUUACAAUUGUUACAACAUUCGAAUAAAUAAAAUAGGCGAAAAAUAAAAUAUAUAUACAUUCAAAUAAACAAAUAAAUCUUUCUUGAAUUAAUCUUUAACUUGAACUUCAAGUUUGAAACCUGUCAAAGUAAUCAAAUAACUACACAAGUAAUCACACUUUUUAGUCAAGUAGACAAUAUGCAAUUGUUUAAUGACGAAUUCUGCAUAUAAAAAAAACAGACAAUAGCUUACACAAAUUUGUGAAUGUAAAGAUAGUAUAAAUGUUAAGAAUACUAACCAGUUAAGCAAAACAAAUUGAUUCAACUUUUACUCGAACAAAGUAGCAAAAUAGCGAAGAAAAACACUUGAAUAUUUACCGGAAUAUUAAUGUAUUGUUAGAGUAGCAAGAGAACAAUGAGAGAAGAGCGAGUGAUGAGAGAAUUUUUUAUUGAGAGUGAAUGAGUGUCUCUGAGUUGAUGAAGGGAGGGGUCUUAUUUAUAUAGCAAAGAGGGGGAAACAAAUAAGGAAAAAAUAUAUUUAAAGGAGUCAAUUAAAUAUAUUAUUUUCCUUAUUAAAAAGGAGAUUCAAAUCAACCAAAAUAAAAAUAUAUCAAUUCCAAAUAUAAGCAAGAAUAAAUUAGGAAGAGAAAUAUUAUUAUUAUUUAUCUUAAAUAAGGAGAGACAAAUCAGAUUUUUGUAUUUAAUAUUUCAUUACUAAAAAAAUAGAUGAGUAAGAGUAAAGUAAGGAAGACAAUAUUCUUUUACUUUAAUUAAUAACAGCCAAAACAUUUUAAUUGAGAAAAUCAUUUAAAUUUUAAAACAUUUGAAAUUCAUGAAUAAUUUUAAAACAUUUGAAAUUCAUUAAUUAUAAUAAUUACGAUAAUUUUAUAAAGUAAAACAUACUAAAAUAUAUAAUUUUUAAGCAAAGUCGACUAAAAAUUUUAAAAUCUAACAUACGUAUUUAAUCGAAUAGGAUUUCUAAAAAAGUUCAAAGGUCGGUCAAAAUUGGGUGUCAACAGACGGUCCGUCAUCGGUGUCUAAUUUUGUCAUUUAGUGACAGAACUGGGAAUUCCACAAUCAUCUCCUAUGACCCAAAUGGAAUUUUUAGUGUUUAACCUACAUGUGUAUAACCCAAAUGCCUAGUAAACUAGCAAUGCUAAAGCACCUAUUUCUAGAGUUUUAACAAGGCAAUUUUGAGGAUUCUCAACCUAGGUCAGACAGAAUUUGUAUUAAAGAAUGAACCCAUCAAUAAGAAAUACACUAAUACUAAUUGAUAAACAAAAAUGCAAUGUAAAUGGGUAGAAAUCAGAGACACAUACCCGAGAAUUUGAGAAAAACAAGCAAGGAAGGUACUUGGUGAUCAAGAAGAGACCACAACAGCAGACUCCGACUAGUAAAGAGUGGAUUUUAGGAAUUAAGGAAUUUGGGAAAAUGAUCAUUGGAAAGAGAGGUAUGAAGUGGGAAGUUUAAAAGGGAGGGAAUGGGAGAAAGAGGGAAAGAAACCGUUCAAAUGAAGGGGUGGAGGGUUUUAUAGGUUGAAAUUUUUUAAAAGUUCCCAGUCGGGUCGGGUCGGGUACGUCAUUAAUGUCGCAACAAGUCCCCGACGACAGUCCGUCGCAAUUGCGAUGGUCCGUCAUUGGUUCCAUCGUAUGUGCCUUAGUUAUGAAAAUAACUGAAAGACGUACGUGACACGACGAAUCAAUGCGACGGUCCGUCGCGUGCGUGACGGUCCAUCGAUGUGUCCGUCAGUGACUGCUGCAGAGUGAUUUUCUGCAGAAUUCCCUAGUGAUGUGCCUACAAAUUUAAAACCCAUAAGUAGAAAAUGCUACCAUUACUAGAAAGAAAACUAUAAGUAUUGGGUUGCCUCCAAACAAGACCUGAUUUAACGUUGUGGCACAACCGAGGACACUUGAUUACUCAACCUUCAUCAAGAUGGUAUGCCUCAAUCACUUCAUUUGCAAAUUCAGUACGCCCAAAAUGGAGUUUUAUUCGUUCUCCAUUCCCUCCUUGGUUUCUAACUCAACUGCUCCAUGAGGGAAUAAUUGGGUAAUCAAGUAAGGGCCAAUCCAUUUGGACUUGAGCUUGCCCGGAAGCCAACACAACCUAGAACUGUCUAAAAGCACCAAACCCCCAACCAUAAACUCUCGUUUUUCACUUUUUAGGUCAUUAUCCUUCUUCAUAUUUUCUUUGUAGGAUAUAGCAGAUACCGAUUGGAGCUCACCACUCUGCCUCAUGGACCUACAAAUGUUGAAGGUCGAUUCUUCAUUGUUCAACCGAAAUUUCAAUAGCCCCUUUUCCAUAUCAACUAAGGUUCUACCCGUAGCAAGGAAUGGCCUCCCAAGAACAAUAGACACUUCAAAAUCGACUUCACAAUCAAGGAUAACAAAAUCUGCUAGAAAUAUGAACGACUCCACUUUUACUAGCACAUCGUUGAGUAUCCCUAUAGGCCUUUUCACAAUUUGAUCAGCCAUUAGUAGCCGCAUCGCAGUGGGUUUUGGGUCACCUAAACCCAACUUCUUGUAAAUCGAGAGGGGCAUGAGAUUUAUGCUUGCCCCCACAUCAUAUAAUGCUUUUGCAAAAUGUAAUGACACGACUGUAUAAGGAAUAGUGAACGCACCCGGAUCUUCUUUCUUUUGUACGAGAGAUCUUGUAGCAAUAGCACUACAAUGCUGAAUUCUAUCGUCAUCCUCGAAACUGACCGAUCUUUACUUUGUAACCAGAUCUUUCAUAAACAAGGCAUAACCGGGUAUUUGUUCUAGAGAUUCUACCAAAGGAACAUUGAUAGAAAACUGCUUCAACAUUGUUAUAAAACGCCGAUAUUUACCAUCCUCAGUCUUUUUCACUAAUCUUUGAGGAAAAGGGGGUGGUCUAGGCAUGGGAAUCACCUUUAUAGGCACUUCAACAUCUUUUUCAGUGUUAUCUUCUACUUCACCACUACCCUCUACCGCCUUAUCAUUAUGUUUUCACCUUUUCCUCCUUAGACGACAUAGGAGGGUAUAUGGUCUGCUUACCACCCCGAGUAGUGAUUGUCAUACAGUGGCCGUUAUUUUUCAGAUUUUGGACAGUGUUGCUAGGAUGAGUUCCCGGUUGCCGGGUGUUCACAGUCACAGAUAAUUGGUCCAUUUGAAACUCAAUUUGUUUAAUCAAUAUUGCAUGUGUAUCGAGUUUCUUCCCAAUACCCACUAAAUCACUCCUUAAAUCUUUAAUGUGCUCAUCAUUAGCAUCGAACGUCCUCAUCAUUUGUGCAACAUAUUCUCAACUCGCGCCAUACUAUCUCCACCAUCCCUAGGAGUAACUUUAGGAUUUUGAGGAGGGACAUAGGGCCAAUUUCUAUUACUAUAGUUACCCAUGUUGAAGUUGUUGUCGCGGUUGUAAUUUCCUUCUCGAAUAUAAUGAAUCUCACGGUUAUUGUUACCAUAGAUUCGACCUUGGUUCUCUUGACCUUAGCACCAAUUCUCCUAAUUAGAGCCUUAGGCACUCGGUCAGAAACCCCAUGUCUGCUCAUUUACCGCAUAGGAAUCCUCUUCAUAAUAGCAUUCAUUAUGUGGUGGUGGUGGUUUAGACAAGUAGUUGACUGUAUUUAUCUUUUAUGCACCCCUAGUGACAUGUUUUAAUACUAACCCAAGCUCAGUUCUCAUCUGCGCCAUCUCUUCACGAAUCUCAUCUGUCGCUGGGUUGUGCGUGGAUUGCACUGCGAAGGUAUUUCUCCCAGUAUCUAACUUCCUAGUUCUCCAAGCUUUAUUGUUCCGGGAUAUUUUCUCUAACUUUUCUACAUGCUCAGUAUAAGGACACUCCCCAUAAGAACCACCUGCUAUAGUAUCCAACACCACUUUAUUAUUAUCAUCCUGUCCCUGAUAGAAGUAUUCUUUCAGUGACUAAUCAUCUAUACGGUGAUUGUGGACGCAUCUCAAAAAAUGAGGUGAAUCUAUCGCAAGAACUGCUAACUGACUCUCCUGGUAGUUCCACAAAGUUUUUCACUCCUUUGUGAUUUAGUUUCUUGGAGACCGGGUAUUAGCAAGCUAAGAAAAUGCCCCUUAGUUGGUUCCAAGUGAAAAUUGAGUUAUAAGGGUGGUCAGUGAACCAAAUAGCAGCCUAUCCCGUCAGUGAGAGAGGAAACACUCUUAGCCCUAUUACAUCCAAGUCCAAGUCAGGCCUCCCUACACAACUUUUACACACUGCCCUUACCUUAGCUAUAAAGGCAUGUGGAUCCUCAGAAGAUAGCCCUGAAAACAAACCUCUAGCACUGAGCAUUUGCAUUAGGCUACUAAUUACCCCAAAGGUGUGUUCUGGUAGUAAAGGGGGCAAGACAAGUGGCCCAUCGGAGUCUGCUAUAUUGUCAUAGCCUCUAUAGUAUUCUUGGGGACGUGGAGUGGAAUUUUACCCCCUCUGUUGAUUUUCACCAGGAGCAUCGGGUAAUAUCUGACCAUGAACAUCAACUGGAGUAGGGAUGUUCUGGUUUGAAUCAUCAUCAUUAAUACCCAAGUGUCGAUACAUGUUGCGUAGUGUACGUUCUAAUUCGUGAUCGUAGGAAAACGAGGGUUCUCUUCCUCUCCGUGUAUUUGGCAUACAAGGAAGAUAGUUCUGCAAGAAUAAAAAAAAUAAAGAAAGUAAAAUCAAGAAAAUAUUGACUAAACUUUUAGUAAUAAGUUUAAGUUAAUCUAAAAGCAACUUUCCCUGGCAGCGGCGCAAAAAUUUGAUAACUCUCAAACUUACUUCUCAAAUAAGAAGUAAAGCGAUCGUAUCAAGUAAUAACCCAACUAAUGAGGUUGGGAUCGUUCCCACGAGGAAAAUAGUUCAUACUUAACUUCAAAUCUAUUAUUACUAUUAUUUAGUCAAUUAUUUUCUUGUAAAACAAAGACAAUAAAAAGGGGGUUAUAUUUCUAAAUGAACGAAAAUAACUAGCUAAAUUAAAGUAGACAACUAACAGAUUCAAAAGUUGGAUUUUAAUAAAUUAAUAAAUGUAACUAGGGUUUACAUGUUCCCCACAGGUUCUUAAUCUGAUAAUUCUAACUAUAAUAAUUUUUUCCUAGUAUCUUGCAUGCAAAGUGAUAAGUUAUGUAUUUCAAAAUCCUUGGUUUGGCAUCUAGAAAAUUUCACUCCGCACCUUUGUCCAUCUAAGUAUGUUGCUAAUACUAACCCUUACCUUUACCUCAUAUAAAGUAUUAUAUUUGAUACUUGACUAAGUUAUUACCUCGUACCAAUCAAUACUAGCCUAUUAGAUAGUAUACACUAAAUCUAUGUUGAUAAUUCUUUUCCUAUUAUCUACCUCCUUGGUCCGACAAGUAGCAUUAAGGCGAGUUCUAACGUUGUUCAUCCGUUAAAAAGACUUCUAAGCCAAAGAAUUAUCAAUACAUGCAAAACACUAUUCCAGAAUUGCUUUUUUAGUUAGGUUUUACCUCAUUGUUCGCCUAUGUUUCCCACAACCCUAGUUAUUGAGUUUAGUUACUCAUAGUCAUAAUCACAAUAUUCAUAUAUAUAAUAUAAGAAUUCAUGCACUUACUUCAAUGAGAAAGAAUAAAAUCCAAAAAUUUACUUGAUUAAUCGACAAAAUCACCAACAAUCAACUUCAGAAAAAAGUUUAACAAUCCAAAGUGUAAUAAUCAAAAUAAUCUCUCACAAAGAAUCUACAUAAAAGUGUCUAAUAACAGAGAGUCUAACCAUCUGACAGUCUAAUCACCAAGAGUCUAACCCCAAAAACGAGGUUUUUCGAACUACUUAUAAAAAACAAAAUCUAAUCAAAGAAGGACUCUAUUUGUUGAAAAUCUAUCAAAAUGCGGCUCGGUCGAUGGACCUCACGACUGGUCGUCGUGGUCACGACGGACCGUCAUGGUCCCAUACUUUGCAAAUUCUUCUGUUGUUCUCUUCAUUACCUCGACGGCAGGUAUGAUGGAUCAUCACAGGCACAACGGUCCGUCGAGGGUCUCCGUUCCAUAACACUUAAACUCUUAGAAUUUGGGUACUAGGACUACUUCUCUGAUCAUCACGACGAACCAGCAGGAUGGACCGUCAUGAAUACAACGAUCUAUUAUGCACUUCGUAACCCCACAAUUGUUCAGACUUCCCCAUCUUCCUUCAGUAGUUUCACUACGAUGUCAACUACGGACCGUCACAGGCAUGACGGACUGUCAAAAGCUCCGUAGGUGGUACUUUUCUGCAUUUCUUGCUCAAAAACUUUCCCGUUCAUCUUUAGAUAGAUUUCCAGCAAAUAAAGAGAAACUUACAUAAAAAUUAAUACAAAAAGGCUUUUGUACACACACUAAACUUAAGGAAAAGGCAUUAAAAACACCGUGAAACCACGGUAUAUCAACACCUUCAAGCGACACACUAUGACUCACUACAAAAAUCUUUGUACAAUAAUAUCCAUGUUUUAGCUUUCGCAAUCAUUUGGCUAUCAAUCCCGAUCAGUCUCAUCAUAUUUAUGCAUGUUAUAAAUAUUAGGCUUGAAUUAUGUGGAAUUCGACCAUGACGCAGACUCACCACGCACUAACACCUGUCCUUUUCAAUUUCUCACAGAGGUGCUAAUAUUUCUGGUAUUGCAACUAGUGUCCUCACUUCAAAACAACAUCCUCAUUUUUCACACAGUGAUUUCAGUUUGAGUAUAAGGAUUACUUUUCAACACUCACUCUCAGAACAAAUUCACAACUCAUUCAUACAUAUCGCCAUAAGCUUGCCCUUAUUUUCACUACUUUAAGUUUGCUAUACAACUCUUAGGAUCACGAUAAGACUUUUUUAGCUUGUAAUAUAGGCUCAGGGUCAGGUAGGGUAUAUAUAAGUAUACUUCAGUGACUUUUUGCUCUCCUUGACAUAUCGGCUAAACAUACCUCUUUUCAUCAUCUUAUUUCAUCCAAUUUCUCAUAUUCUUUUACCUUGCUAUUUUCCCCUCUUUCUCCAUUUGUGUAAGUGACUCUCUUCUUUUCUUUCUUGUAUGUAUUGUACCUUUUUAAUUAUUUCACUUUUCUUUCAACUGAUUCUUGAGUCACAUUAGUUUUGUUCUUUCUCUCUCUUUGUUCUUUCAAUCCCACUUUCCAGAGCAUUCCUCAUAAUAGCCACCCUCGACUCAUGGCUUUGCCAUGAGUCAAAGUACACAAUACCCAAAGUUGGGUUAGGUCCACGAAAGGGUUGUUUACUGCAUUAGCCACCCUCAACUUAUGCUUUUGGCAUAAGUUCAGGUGCACAUGUCUAAGAAGGGACCAGGGCCAACACAUUAUUCCGAGAAAAGAUCAUUUGGGUUGAAAAAGAAAGGUAUAUUUUAAGCUCAAAUCAUUUGGAUCAAAGAGGGAUUAAUUUCAUUCGGUUUAUUUUUAUUUAGGAUAAAAAUUGGCUAUAUUGAAUAAGGCCUAUGAUCCUUUCCUAAUUGUCUAUUACAACUUACUUUUAGCAGGACUAACCAUGAAAGUUCUAGCUUAGUAAAAACAGUGGAGUAUUCAGAUCUUCCUCACACUCACUUGACAUCUCGUUACUCUACCAUAUUAUCAGACACCUAGUUCAAAUUUUAGACUUAGAGUCAUGUAGUGGUGUGUCUCUAUGUUAUGCUUAGAGUCAAUACAUUUAUCAUUUACUAUGCCUAGUCAUGCAUCAUUUUCAUUUCAUCGGGAUAUCAUUUUAGCCAUCAUGCUUCAGAGUUAAACUAUGUACACAAGAUAUAGACAUGCCAGUUCAACCAUAAAAAUAAUCAGUCUCUUCGGGAAAAAGAACACAGGCAACAAAAACCCAAAAGAGGAUAGUAAGUUGGGCAACUCAGACUUCACCCUAGCACUCACUUUCCAUUUACCCCAUCGCCAAAAAAAAUACAUGCAAUUGUCUUUAAUGCAUAAAAAAUUGAAAUACGAGUGGUAGGUGAAGCAAACCUAGGGUGCAAAGCACCGACGAUCAACAAGAAGGUGGGUCUGAUUCCCCGGAACCCACUACAUCUGUAAUCUGGACACCCUCAGUAGUUUCUACAUCAGCAAUAACACUAUCAGCAGUGCCUCCCGCUAUUGCCACAUCUCUGGAGCUAGAUGCCCCAACAGCUGACUCUACAGCCCUCAUCCGACGCGCCUCCUCAUCAGCAAGCGAGGCUCUCCUCGCAGCCUCCAUCUCACGGCGCUCCUUCUUCCGUGCUCUAUCCUCAUCCUCCUCUCGAACCCUACGCCUCUUGGCAUGCUCUCGAUGGGAAGGGGUGUAAUCUCAGAAGUGGCGAAUAAGGUCGCCAUCACUGUGUCCUCGACAGGCUCUGCAGAAGGGGCCUCAGACUUUAGCACCCUUGCCUCUAGGAUCAUAUCAAUGUCUGCUCGAAGACUCUCGACUGCAGCCUGAAGGGUCGACACAUCCACCUGAGGGGCUGGCCGGUCUAGCACCCGCAACUCAAAAGCGUCCAAGCGUUGUUGAACCUCACUGAUCUUCCUCUAUGUGUGUUGGACCAUUCUCCGCUCCAAGCACUCUUCUCCCAUAGCAAUAGACCUCUGCAUCCUAGGCUGGAUGUGAUGAAGAAGUGUAGCCAUCUGUGCUUCUAGUUUUUGGACCCUAACAAGCGGGACCAGAGCGGGGAAAGGGGCUGAGCAAGAGGAGCUUGGGGCAGUGCUACUACCCGGGAUAGACUCGACCAGGGUAGUGUUAGUGGUUUCAGAAGCAGCCUACGUAGCCGUGCGAGCCUGUGGUACCGUAUCAGCAAAUUGUCACCAAGUGGAGGCAACUCUGGACGGGGCUCUCUGCGUGGAGCGAACUCAUUGGCCUCAUCCCUGAUGAGGCCGAUAUCAACAAUGCCCAGCGGAGUCUUGAGAUGAUCAAUGUGCCAGAUGGGCACACCUGCGAAUAUGCAUAAACAAAAUAUCCAUGCACGGAAAAGGGUAAGUAGUUGUGACCUUAAAAGCCCUCUCAUGCAUGAGUGCCUGUAGAAGCCAAGCAAAGUCCACCUCAAACUCGACUAUCAUCGCCGCAUCAGAACUAAAUGAUCCCAUGUGACUAUAUUAUCAGUGGCUAUGGGGGAAAGGCACUGGCGGACAAUCAACCAUAAGAACUUCGCCAUGAAGGUCAGGUAAGCCUUUUUGAUUGCUCCCUUCGGCUCGGUUACCCAGUCGGCACCCUCUCCAUCAACAGACAAGUGUAGGGCCAUCCACCUCUUGGUGGUCUUUCUCAGCGAUGGCUCACGCGAGAAUUGGCCAUCUUUGACAAUUUGCCACAGUUAGUAGAUAUAGGUGGUGGGGGGUUCGAUUGGCAUCAACAUCCUCGUCGUAUAGAUACCGGUGAAUGGCAGGCAGGGAGAUAUCAACCUGAAUGCCACGUACUUAGACAUGCUCAAGUGGGGCCUGUUUGGCGGGGGCAUCCCACCUAUCAAUCUGUGAUCUGAAAUUAGCCACGUAGGAGGCGUAGAACUCUCGGACCAACUCUUCACUAUAACAGCCCAAAGAACGCGUUGUCCACUCGAGUCGGUGUCAGGUGAAGAGAUUGUGGAUCUCUGGCAUAGUAGGGAGACUUCCCAUAAGGACCCGCCUCUCCAAUGUAAGGGUCUGUGUCAUGACUCCAUUAUCAUUCAAAAACUUUGCAUUUGAAUAAACUUGAUACUGGUCAUCGACACACCACCGAUUGGGAUGGUCGGAAACUGGGUGAGAGCAGGAGUCGGUGAGCCGGGUGUGGAUUCAGAACUAUCAGCCUCAUCUGACGAAGCAUACUGUGCAGCUGUUGCGGGUGUAGGGACUUCAGCAGACCCGGAGGCUUCCUCCGACCACGAAACUCCUAAGGAACUAGACGCUCCUUCUUCAUGAGUAGCUGACACAGAAGGUGUGACAGUCAUUGUGCGAUCCUCAUCAAACUGAGAGGCAGUGACUACGUUGGACGCCACCUUUUUGGGCGUAGCUCUAGCAGCACGUGCAUCUUGGGAUGGAGUGGCAGUGCCUGGGGGCAUGUACUCGAGGUCACGCUCAUCAUCAGAGCCAAUGACCAGGCGGGCAGACGGGGCGACAUACAUUGAUCGCCCACAUACGUAAACUCGAUCUUGUUUUGGUGCCAUAAUAGAUAGUACCUGUAAAGAAUCAAUAUUAGUACGAGAAAGAGCAAACAAGACGAGCAAAAACGAAACAAAAUAAAUAUAAGAGCUAAGCUAUGAUGACUUUUCUGUAGUAACAGUGAAACACGAUGAACUAGGUUACGGUUCGUCAUGGGUACGAUGGACCGUCAUGGGGUCCGCCAUGUCUUACUUUAAUUAUGUUGAUGUCGAGAUCCCUAAAGGAAUGUAUCUGACAAGUAUGAUGGAUAAGCAGGACGGGCUGUCGUAACAAUGACGGUCCGUCGUUGAUGUUCGUCGUGGAGACCCUUAGGAGAGGGGUCUCUGACCGUCAUGACGGUUAUACAGGGUGGACCAUCGAGGGUAUGAUGGUCCAUCGUAGAUGUCCGUCAGAGGACACUUAGAAAAAGUAUGGAGACCCUCAGGAAAUGGGUCUCUGACCGUCAUGACGGUUGUGCAGGACGGACCGUUGAUGGUAUGACGGUCCGUCGUAGGUGUCCGUUAGAGGGCACUUGGAAAAAAAUAUGGAGACCCUUAGGAGAGGGGUCUCUGACCGUCAUGACGGUUAUGCAGGACAGACCGUCGAGAGUAUGAAGGUCCGUCAUAUAUGUCUGUAAGAGGACACUUGGAGAAAGUUGGAUACCCUUAGGAACAGGGUCUCUCCCAACCAGAACAGUUGUGCAAGACGGACCGUCGAGGGUAUGACGGCACGUCGUAUAUGUCCGUAAGAGGACACUUAGAAAAAGUGAGAGACCCUUAGGAAUAGGGUCUCUAACAACCAGAACGGUUGAGCAGGAUGGACCGUCGUGGGAACGACGGUCCGUGGCUUGUGUCCGUUGGUAAACACUUGGAAAAAAUUGGACAGUGAGGUAAUAGGGGUGUUGGAACGGACCCAAUGACGGUUCGUCGUAGGUACAAUGGUUCGUCAUCGGGGUCUCGUUCUGUCAUUUAGUGACAGAACUGGGGAUGCCACAAUCAUCCCCUAUGAACCAAAUGGAAUUUUUAGUGUUUAACCUAUAUGUGUCUAACUCAAAUACCUAGUAAACUAGCAAUUCUAAAGCACCUAUUUAUAGUGUUUUAACAAGGAAAUUUUUCGGAUUCUCAACCUAGGUCAGACAAAAUUUGUAUUAAAGAAUGAACCCAUCAAUAAGAUAUAGGCUAAUUCUAAUUCAUAAACAAAAAUGCAUUGUAAAUGGGUAGAAAUCAUAGACAAAUACCUGAGAAUUUGACAAAAACAAGCGAGGAAGGUACUUGGUGAUCAAGAAGAGAACCACAGCAGCAGACUCCAACUAGUAAAGAGUGGAUUAUAGGAAUUGGGGAAUUUGGGAAAAUGAUCGGUUGAAAGAGAGGUAGGAAGUAGGAAGUUUAAAAGGGAGGGAAUAGGAGAAAGAUAAAAAGAAACCGUUCAAAUGAAGGGGUGGGGGGAGGGUCUUAUAGGUUGAAAUUUUUUUAAAGUUCCCAACCGGGUCAGGUCGGGUACGCUCAUUAAUGACGCGAUGAGUCCCCAACGACGAUCCAUCGCAAUUAUGAUGGUCCGUCAUAUGUUCCGUCGCAUGUGCCCUUGUUUUUAAAAUAAAUGAAAGACGUACCUAGCACGACGGAUUCAUGCGAUAGUCCGUCGCGCACGUGACGGUUCAUUGAUGUGUACGUCAGUGACUGCUGCGAAGUGAUUUUCUGCAGAAUUCCCUAGUGAUGUGCCUGCAAAUUUAAAACCCAUAAGUAGAAAAUGCUACCAUUACUAGAAAGAAAAACUAUAAGUAGUGGGUUGCCUCCCAACAUGCGCCUGAUUUAACGUCGUAGGACGACUGAGGACACUUGAUUACUCAGCCUUCAUCAAGAUGGUAUGCCUCAAUCACUUCAUUUGCCGAUUCAGUAAUGCCCAAAUAGAGUUUUAUUCGUCCUCCAUUCACCUUAAACCGCACUCCCUCCUCGGUUUCUAACUCAACUGCUCCAUGAGGGAAUAAUUGGGUAAUCAAGUAAGGGCCAGUCCAUUUGGACUUGAGCUUUCCCGGAAGCCAACGCAACCUAGAACUGUCUAAAAGCACUAUGCCUCAUGGACCUACUUUUAGGUCAUAAUCCUUCUUCAUCUUUUCUUUGUAUGAUAUAGCAGAUACCGAUUGGAGCUCACCACUCUGCCUCAUGGACCUACAAAUGUUGAAGGUUGCUCCUUCAUUGUUCAACCGAAAUUUCAUCUGCCCCUUUUCCAUAUCAACUAAGGCUCUACCCGUAGCAAGGAAUGACCUCCCAAGAAUAAUAGGCACUUCAAAAUCAACUUCACAAUCAAGUAUAACAAAAUAUGCUGGAAAUAUGAACCACUCCACUUUUACUAGAACAUCGUGGAGUAUGCCUAUAGGCCUUUUCACUAUUCGAUCCGCUAUCAGGAGCCGCAUCGCAGUGGUCCUUGGGUCACCUAAACCCAACUUCUUUUAAAUCCUAUCACCUAGACUUCAAAGCUCAAAUUAAUGAAAAUAAUAAAAUAGUAUUAAUUAUUUUAUAUCACUUAGCAAGAUUAAAUAAAUUAAUAAAUGAAGUGACUUUGAUUGCUAAUUGUAACCCCCACAUAGAUUGCAUGAGAUACGGCCGGGACCCAUACUUGUGGACCUCGAGGGAUGCCUAACACCUUUCCCUCGAGGUAAUUUGAACCCUUACCCUAAUCUCUGGCUCGUUGACCUUAGUUAGACUUAGUUAAGUUAGAUAGGUGCCCUAACGCGCCUUAAUUUGUUAGGUGGCGACUCCAAACUCGAAAUCCCAAAAAGCGUUGUUAGGUCGUGCACAAAACUCGUUUUCUGCGAAAAUGGGGCGCGACAAGAUUCUACCAUUAAACACAUUCAUGCACAAUCUGUUAUGUACUUAAUUUUUCCUUUUAUAAAAUGGAUAAAAAAUAUUAAUCCACCACACUUUGUAUUUCAACAUCUAAUAGUUCUUAUGUAAGGAGUAUUUUUUAUUGGUCAUUACUUUUCUUAUUGAUUUGUGCCUUCGUUCAUUUUUUAUUCUUAUGAUUGUUGGAUAAACACAAAAUCUAAUGAUUGUUGGAGUAUUUAUGUCCCAAGAAACUUCAGCCUUGGGGCUUAGAAUUUUCGACUGAUAAGUCUAAACAGUAAAAAUAUAGUUCUAGCCUUACAAGCUGCUCAUUAUCUUACAAAAAAAAUUAUUGAUAUUUAAGUUUUACGCAGAAAGUAACACUAAAAAAAUUUAUUUUAUAUACACAAAAACACAUAUAGGAAUAAUUCAUAUAAUGUUGAGCAAUUUUUUAUCAAUAAGAAUUGAGUCUAUGUAAACUAUAACAAUAACAGAAUUCAAAUAUGUAAGACAUGUUUUCAAAACUAGUACAUAGACUUGACUUGUCACUAAGUCAUUGUAUCUUGAUUUAUGAGAAUAUGUGUAACUCUUGUCUUAGAGACAACUUUACUCAUGGGUUUUCGAACAACAAUACAUUAUACCCCAUAAAUAAGGCUUGACACUGCCUCAUUGUGUAUUUAUUUGUUAGAUGCUCUCUAACUAUUUCCUUAGAGACAAACUUAUCUUAGUGACUCAUAAUUUUUAGUUUAACUUUCAAAAUUUUAUCAAUAUCACAUAAAUUAAAACGGGAAAAUAACAUAAAUUAUGUAAAAGUACUAUUAACACAUAAUAUAAAAAAAAUUCUAAAAUCAUAUUAAAAAUGUCAAGCACUCUGGUUAUCCCUAGAAGUAAGCAUAACACAAAGAACAAUAAAUUACAAUGACAAAUAAUUUAAUUAUUUCUUCAUUUUUAACAAAAGGAAAAUCAAAUCAAACUUAAAUAAAAUCAAUCACGUUUGAUUUUGACAAGUUUUAUAAAAAUUAUGAACACAUCUGACCGUUAUCUGUAAACCAAAUCAAAAUAUUUAAUUUAUGAAGGAAAAAAAAUCUUAAGUAGAUCAAAAUACCAAGGAACCAAAACCAAACCGAACUGAAUCAUGAAAAGAAUAAAAAUUGAGUAACAAAAUUAGUUGAUUGAAUGCUUUCGCAAAAUGUAAUGACCCGACUGUACAAUGAAUAGUGAACGCAUCCGGAUCUUCUUUAUUUGGUACGAGAAAUCUUGUAGAAAUAGCACUACAAUGUUGCAUUCUAUAAUCAUCCUCAAAAGUGACCACUAUUUUCUUUGUUACCAGAUCUUUCAUAAUCUUGGCAUAACCGGGCAUUUGUUCUAGAGCUUCUACCAAAGGGACAUUGAUAAAAAUCUGCUUCAAUAUUGUUAUAAAACGCUGAUUUUUACCAUCCUCGAUCUUUUUCACUAAUCUUUGAGGAAAGGGGGGUGGUCUAGGCAUGGGAAUUACCAUUAUAGACCCUUCAACAUCUUUUUUAGUGUUAUCUUCUACUUCAUCACUACCCUCUACCGCCUUAUCAUUAUCUUUUAUCACCUUUUACUCCUUAGACGGCAUAGGUGGGUCAAUGGUCUGCUUACCACCCCGAGUAGUGAUUGCCAUACAAUGUCCGUCAUUUUUUUUUAUUUUGGACAAUGUUUCUAAGAAGAGUACCCGGUUGCCGUGUGUUCACAGUCGCAGAUAAUUGGACCAUUUGCAACUCAGUCUGCUUAAUCGAUAUUGCUUGUGUAUCGAGUUUCUGCCCAAUACCCACUAAAUCACUCCUUAAAUCUUUAAUGUGCUCAUCAUUAGCAUCGAACGUCCUCAUCAUUUUGUGCAACAUAUCCUCAACUCGCGCCAUACUAUCUCCACCAUCCCUAGGAGUAACUUUAGGAUUUUGAGGAGGGACAUAGGGCCCAUUUCUAUUACCAUAAUUACCCAUGUUGAAGUUGUUGUCGCGGUUGUAAUUUUCUUCUCGAAUAUAAUGAAUCUCACGGUUAUUGUUACCAUAGUUCCGACCUUGGUUCCAUUGACCUUGGCACCAAUUCACCUGAUUAGAGACUUGGGCACUCGGUCAAAAAAAACUCAUCUGCUCGUUUACCGCAUAGGAAUCCUCCUCAUAAUAGCAUUCAUCAUUUGGUGGUGGUGGUUUAGACAAGUAGUUGACUGCAUUUAUCUUUUCUUCACCCCCAGUGACAUGUUUUAAUACCAACCCAAGCUCAGCUCUCAUCUGAGCCAUCUCUUCACAAAUAUCAUCUGUGGCUGGGUUGUGAGAGGAUUGCACUGCGAAGGUAUUUCUCCCAGUAUCUGACUUCCUAUUACUCCAAGCUUUAUUGUUCUGGGAGAUUUUCUCUAACUUUUCAGCAAUAUCAGCAUAAGGACACUCCCCAUAACAACCACUUGCUAUAGUAUCCAACAACACUUUAUUAUUAUCAUCCUGUCCCCGAUAGAAGUAUUCCUCGAGUGACUCAUCAUCUAUACGGUGAUUGGGGACGCUUCUCAAAAUCGAGGUGAAUCUAUCCCACGAACUACUAAUUGACUCUCCUGGUAGUGCCACAAAGUUGUUCACUCUAUCUUUGUGGUUUAGUUUCUUGGAGACCGGGUAGUAGCGUGCUAAGAAAACGUCCCUUAGUUGAUUCCAAGUGAAAAGUGAGUUAUAAGGGAGCUCAGUGAACCAAAUAGCAGCCUCUCCCGUCAGUGAGAGAGGAAACACUCUUAACCCUAUUACAUCCAAGUCCAAGUCAGGCCUCCCUACACAACUUUUACACACUACUCUUACCUUAGUUAUAUGGGCAUGUGGAUCCUUAGAAGGUAGCCCUGAAAACAAACCUCUGGCAGUGAGCAUUUGCAUCAGGCUACUAGUUACCACAAAGUUGUGGCCUGGUCGUAGAGGGGGCAAUAAAAAUGGUCCAUCGGAGUCUACUAUAUUGUCAUAGACUCUGUAGUAUUCUUGGCGACGUGGAGCGGGAUUUUGUCCCCUCUGUUGAUUUUCACCUGGAGCAUCAGGUAGUAACUGACCAUGAACAUCAACCGGAGUUGGGAUGUUCUGGUUUGGAUCAUCAUCAUUAAUACCCAAGUUUCGAUUCAUGUUGCAUAGUGUGCGCUCUAAUUUGUGAUACCUAGGGAAACAAGGGUUCUCUUCCUCUCCGUGUAUUUGGCAUACAAGGAAGAUAGUUCUGCAAGAAUCAAAAACAUUAAACAAGGUGAAAUCAAGAAAAUAUUGGCUAAACUUUUAGUAAUAAGUUUAAGUUAAUCUAAAAGCUACUUUCCCCAGCAGCAGCGCCAAAAAUUUGAUAACGCUCAAACUUACUUCUCAAAUAAGAAGUAAAUCAGUCGUAUCAAGUAAAGAACCAAACUAAUGAGGUUGGGAUCGUUUCCACGAGGAAAAUAGUUCAGACUUAACUUAAAUCUAUUAUUACUAUUAUUUAGUCAAUUAUUUCCUUGUAAAACAAUGACAAUAACGGGGGGGGGGGGGGGGGUUUCUGAAUGAAUGAAACUAACUAGCUAAAUUAAAGUAGACAACUAACAGAUUCAAAUGUUGGAGUUUAAUCAAUUAAUAAAAGUAACUAGGGUUUACGUGUUCCACAUAGGUUCUUAAUUUGAUAAUUCUAACUAUAAUAAUUCUUUCUUAGUAUCUUGCAUGCAUAGUGAUAAGUUAUGUAUUUCUAAAUCCUUAGUCCGGCAUCUAGAAAAUUUCACUCCGCACCUUGUUCCAACUACGUGUGUUUCUAUACUAACCCUUACCUUUACCUCAUAUUAAGCAUUAUAUUCGUUAUUUGACAAAGUUAUUAUCUCGUACCAAUCAAUACUAGCUAGCCUAUUAGAUAGUAUACACUAAAUCUAUGUUGAUAAUUAUUUUCCUAUUAUCUAGCUCCUUGGUCCGUCAAGUAGUAUUAAGGUGAGUUCUAACGUUGACCAUCCGUUAAAAAGACUUCUAAGCGAAAGAAUUAUCAAUACAUGCAAGACAAUAUUCUAGAAUUGUUAUUUUAGUUAGGUUUUACCUCAUUAUUCACUUAUGGUUCCCACAACUCUUGUUAUGGAGUUUAGUUACCCAUAGUCAUAAUCACAAUAUUCAUAUAUAUAAUAUAAGAAUUUAUGCACUUACUUAAAUGAGAAAAAAUAAAAUCCAAAGAUUUAUUUGAUUAAUCUAGAAAAUCACCAACAAUGAACUCCAGAGAAAAGUGUAACAAUCCAAAGUGUAAUAAUCAAAAUAAUCUCUCACAAAGAAUCUACAUAAAAGUGUCUAAUGACUGAGAGUCUAAUCACCAAGAGUCUAACACCAAAAAUGAGGUUUUUUGAACUAUUUAUAAAAAAUAAAAACCUAAUCAAAAAGGACUCUAUUUGCUAAAAAUCUGUCAAAACACAGCUGGGUCGACGGACCUUGCGCUGGGUCAUCAUGGUCACGACGGGUCUUCUGCUGCUCUCUUCAUUACCCUCGACGGCAGGUAUGAUGGAUCGUCACAGGCAUAACGAUCCGUCGAGGGUCUCCGUUCCAUCACACUUAAACUCUUGAAAUUUGGGUACUAGGACUACUUCUCUGAUCAUCACGACGAACUAGCAGGACAGACCGUCAUAACUAAGACGGUCCGUCACGCACUUCGUAACUCCACACUUAGUCAGACUUUUCCAUCUUCCUUCAACAUCUUCACUACGAUGUCACCUACGGACCGUCAUAGGCACCACUGACCGUCACUAGCUCCGUAGGUGGUAUUUUUCUGCAUUUCUUGCUCAAAAACUUUCGCGUUCAUCUUUAGACAGAUUUCCUGAAAAUAAAGAGAAACUUAUAUAAAAAUUAAUACAAAAAGGCUUUUGGACACACACUAAACUUAAGGAAAAAGCACUAAAAAUACCGUGAAACCACGGUAUAUCACCUUCCCAGUCCAAAGGUAUCUCCUUAGGACAACUUCGAGCAUUUGCAUUACUUUCUCUGGAAACUAUGAUCUGAAACCAGAAUGUUUGUAUAAAGAUAAAUACUCUAAUAAUCAUUUCUGCUUCUUUUUUCGAACAAGGAGAAAACAACUUGCAAUCUUAGUUGCUCGGGCUCGUAGAAAUAUAAGAAGUCAUGGCUUUUGAUCGUAGAACAAGUUUGAAAAUAGUAAAUUGCACUUCAAUUUGGCAACUAUAGUUGUUUAGCUUUUUCAUAUUUACUAAAUCAGACGAACCAUAUAACACAUGGAAUGACUGAUGUACACAUCAUGUGUCAGUUACAAGAAAGUUGGAGUCGGCUAUAUGGGUCCUUGUUGUCUAUGUUGUUUUGCCCUAAAAUGAUCUAAAUUUUGUUGCUUUGCCCUGAAAUAGCUGAUGUAGAUGAUAGUUGGAAGCACUAGUUGAUCACAACCAUAGUGAAUGAUAGCAAACUUCAAAUUUGAACCUCAAUCUCCUUGAAGGUACGUCAUUCUAUUAGAGCUUAAAUUUUGUAAUCUCUAAUAGAAAUAAUCUUUAUACAAUGAAUUUAGUAUUUGAAAAUUGUGUUUAGUAGACAUAUUUAAGAUAAGAAGCUUGUUUGUUAUUGCCAAAUAUUUGAUAUUAGAAUUUCUGGGGUUGACAAUUAAAGAAUGAAGAUCCAAUUGAAAAUCCGCUAUACCACUCAUCACUCAUCACUCUCAUCACUUUUCUUUGUUACAUUCACAUCUAUCAAAUCUUCUUCACCUUGUAACGGGUUGCCCUCAAAAUCAGCUACAUCAUAGUUCCAUUAGUUCUCUUUCGAGUGCUCAAAAAUAUUUCAACUUCUCUAUUAUCAAGUAUUUUGUAGACAAGGUUAUAUAGAUCUAAAUAGUUGUCAAAAAAUUUUUAUACUCGUCUCUAAAUAAGGUCCAAACUUGAAUCAAAAUUUCACCUUUUUAUCACUGACUUAAACUUUUUCAUAUAUUGCCUAAUCAGAAUAAUGAAAUUUUCAUUUCCAUGCAAUAGUCAUAAUAAGCUAUAAGUUCAUUGACAUAGUUCAUCACUGGCUCAAACACCCACCAACCCUUAUUGUAUAAUUUAAUGGUGUACAUAUAUGAAUCUUUACUUUCAUCUGUCGUGUAAAAGAAAAAGUAGAUUCUAUUAGUGUUAUAACAAUAAACACCGCCAAUAGAAAAUAUAAAUGAUACAAAUUUAGCACAAAAAUAUGCUAUGAAUAAAUUAAUUGAAUACUUACAUGCCGGAGUGAAUUGUAGCUCAUUCUUGCUUCGAAGUAUUGUGAAAUUGAAUAAUAUUGUUUCACUUCAAUAAGUGUACUGAGUUGUUUUUUGUGUUUCAGGAGAAGUGUUUGGAUUGUACUUUCAUAUAAAUCGGAGGCAACCUAUGAGAAAAAUUAUUCAUCAACCAACAGACACACAGAGUAGUGUAUGAGAGGAUUGAAUUCACAUUUAAAUUGAAGAAGUGUGUAGAGGGAUAUACUUGUGUAUAAGAAAAGAUGUUAUGGGAGAAGUUUAAAUAUUUUCUAGUUUUAGGUUUUGUUCUCCGCAUAGAAGUGUUUUUUUAUUGUAAUAUCAAAAUUACCCCCAACAACAGUAAGUGAUUUGUUUAAAUUUAUAUUCACUGUUAGUAGAACGACGAAAUCACUUACUUUAAUUAAUUAAAGGUUAAGUAUGAUUAGUGAGAUAUCAUAGGGAC